rnacentral:rRNA from 1 species
CAUCGAGUUUUUGAACGCAAGUUGCGCCCGAAGCUUUUAGCUGAGGGCACGUCUGCCUGGGCGUCACGC